AGAUGAUCUGAAACAUGCCUCCGAAGUCAGCUCACUGCAGAGGAUUUCCUCCGUUUUCAGGACCUAUUCUGCUUUUCAGUUUGGGAUAUGAGGUCCAUUCACCCCGACCUUCAUCAGUCUUUGCAAGCCUUAAUGUGCAGGAACUAUAUAAUUUGUGAGUCGAACAUUAAAUAUGGCCAUUCCUGAAUUUCCACAUUGGCAGACAUGGCUCAUUUGCUCUCAUGAACUAUAUAAUUUGUGAGUCGAACAUUAAAUAUGGCCAUGAAAUGUGUAUUGGACCAAGAUGAGACAACCUCAGGUCUAUCUGCAAAAAAUUGCAGAUAGCAGCUCAAAUUGCAGUCUCCAAGGCUUCGUGCCAAAUAAAGGAAUAGGAUUUUUAGAAGAUCAACUUUCCAAUGCAGACUUGUAGUUAUUGGUAGGAAUAGGAUGCAGGAACAGUAUUUGAAUUACUAAGGACAAGCUUUUCAAUGGCAAAUGCAAUGAAGCCCAUUCAAUUUUUAA